rnacentral:sRNA from 3 species
ACAGGCCUUGCUGAUGCGCGCUGAAUUCGCUGCUCGCAACGCCGCAUCGCUGAAAUGCUUUUGAUCGCGGAUGUACUGGCACUGGUCAAAACGCGAUGGGUCGGUGCGGUUUCUACCCGGCCUUUUUUGUU